rnacentral:lncRNA from 1 species
UGACCCACGCGAAGGCGAGACUCGUGCAGAGCUGAGUCCAAGGUCACAGUGAAGGGUUUGCCAAAAACCUGCAGAAAUGAAGAGGGACCUGGUUAAAGAGAAUUAGCAUCAACAGCCCGGGAGAGCAAGGCGGGCCGGGCGCCCGGUCAGGGACCAGGAGAGCCCGGGAGAGGGAUCUGGAAGCUGAUUCUGCACUUCAGAGACGUCCUCAUCAGAGGGACGUCUGACCCUCGGGU